AAGGAAGGUAAGCGUCAGGAAGAGAAUGAAGUGGAUGAACUCUAAGAGUCUGUGCACUCCACUGGAGUGGUGGUUCCUAAAAAUCCAUCAGACCACACAUUCCACAAAAAAAGUCAUCAUACUUUGAAGAUCAAAAGUAAAUUUUGCCUGAUUUUAACCAAUUUCACAUUCUACCACAAAAAGAUAUGAAAAUUGUUUUUUUAUUUUUUUUGAUAACCAGAAUGGUUUUUGGCAAUAUAGCAGCGGAAAAAACUGAAGUGUUUGGGGGUUAUUAACUUAUGUUCUGGGUAUUAUUAAAGGUUACAUGGGUAAAACUAGAUCCCAAUACAGUUUGACUCUCUGAUGAAGAGAACUAAAAAGAAACUCAUCUGAGUUUGAAUAAGUCCCAAGUGGAAUGAACUUUUAGCAUGCCCACAGUGGUGUUAUUUGUGACUACAUUGCUCUGACGCUGGGAAAUCAAUGCACUGAAUGUACCAUAGGGUCUUGGUACACUGCAAGGGGUGAAAGUGAAGCUUCCCGGGGAAAAAAAACUGAUGGUCCUACUGUCAACCAUCCCAUGAAGAGGUGAAUCCUAAGACAAGAAAGAGGGGCUUGGGAGACAUAUUAGUCCCUGAGGACUUUCCAUUUUCCACAUUAGGGACCCAUCUUGAUGCACAAAGAAGCCUGAAUACCGUGACAGCUAUUUUAGCGGCCCGGUAGGGGAUGAGAUGUCCCUGGCUGCCAGGCGUCAUGCAAGGAGCUGCCCAGUAAGGAAGUCCAAGGAGGAUCUGGAACAGAGGUGGUAAUUUUAAGAUGUUCUAUAUAGAUUGUACUUAGCUUCUUUUAUCCUCAAACAAUCUUUAAAGUGAUCAAAAUCCUAAAAAUCUUUAAAUGGUGAAACGUGCCUGCUGACCGCAGUUUCACUAAGGGAAAUUAGGGGUUAGACUAGUGCCCAUGGUGGGAUGGAGGGGUCUACCUUUUCCCGAAGCCGAGGUGGCAUGGCAGCAGUAACCGUGGUGGAAGACAACUGUACCCACAGUGCGGCUCUCACAGAGGCAGCGCAGCAGCAAAGCCCAGCGGGAGACGAUUCCAGGGCAGCCAUCAUCUGAGCCAGGGCCUGUGGCUGCCUCACCUGGAGGCCUGCAGCUACGUCUUGCUCCACCAGCAAGCAGUGAGAACAAGCCUGGCAUCUGUCGAGAACGUCGAGUGUGCAUGUGUGGUGGCUCGUGAGUCAGACCUCACCCAGCGAAUCAUCGUCAGAACACCGUCCACAGGAUGCUCUCCCUCAUGAGGCUAAAGACAAUAGUCAAGGGUCAAGUAUAUCUCCUUGAAGGAACCAGAGGAAACUUGAGAAUUUGUACCCGUGGAGCAUCCCCUAAUUGAUGUUAUCUUGUAGCCUUUGUUGAGAGCUAUACUCUUUAAGCUAAAUGCAAUAAAGUGUCAUUUACAUAUGAUCUAUGUGCUUCA
rnacentral:lncRNA from 1 species